CCAUCCUCAGCACGAGGCAAGAAACACAGGAAGAGCAGGAAGGUAAGGAACCCUCAUCCCAGACCCAGCAUACCUGUAACUCGAUCAUCUUUUCUAUUAUUCUUUCCACUUUUCCGAGUCACUGGAGAGACUCACAAAAUGGGAAAGAAUAGAAUGGGUAUUCUCAGGAGAGAGAAGACCACCAUCCAUCCAAGACUAGCCAGACCAGGCAAGGGUUAGAGGGACAUGAGGAUUUCUCCCUGAAGAUCUCCAGCCGGAGUCCGGUUGUGGUGGUGCUGGGGGCGGGGGGGUGGGGUCUAGGGCAGCAUCCCAAACACAGUGACAGGUGGCCAAGGACCGGAGGUUAAGAGCUGCCUCUCUAGCGGAAGUCAGGCCCCUGAGCACUGGGUCAUCUGCUGCUGGGGUGGGGGCCCCAGCCUCCCUGUUUUCUCCUAUCUCUGUACCAAGUGGAGCCACAAAGAAGGAGCAACACAAGCAAGAAAAAUCAGACCGUGAAAGGUUUCUGAGAAUUUCUGAACCAUCUGGAAGAGGUUCAGGACCUGUUCUCCCUUCUGGAAAGCCUGAUCCAUCCUCAGCACGAGGCAAGAAACACAGGAAGAGCAGGAAGGUAAGGAACCCUCAUCCCAGACCCAGCAUACCUGUAACUCGAUCAUCUUUUCUAUUAUUCUUUCCACUUUUCCGAGUCACUGGAGAGACUCACAAAAUGGGAAAGAAUAGAAUGGGUAUUCUCAGGAGAGAGAAGACCACCAUCCAUCCAAGACUAGCCAGACCAGGCAAGGGUUAGAGGGACAUGAGGAUUUCUCCCUGAAGAUCUCCAGCCGGAGUCCGGUUGUGGUGGUGCUGGGGGCGGGGGGGUGGGGUCUAGGGCAGCAUCCCAAACACAGUGACAGGUGGCCAAGGACCGGAGGUUAAGAGCUGCCUCUCUAGCGGAAGUCAGGCCCCUGAGCACUGGGUCAUCUGCUGCUGGGGUGGGGGCCCCAGCCUCCCUGUUUUCUCCUAUCUCUGUACCAAGUGGAGCCACAAAGAAGGAGCAACACAAGCAAGAAAAAUCAGACCGUGAAAGGUUUCUGAGAAUUUCUGAACCAUCUGGAAGAGGUUCAGGACCUGUUCUCCCUUCUGGAAAGGGCUUUUCGUCUUCUUACACUCUUAUUUCCAGCCUGAUCCAUCCUCAGCACGAGGCAAGAAACACAGGAAGAGCAGGAAGGUAAGGAACCCUCAUCCCAGACCCAGCAGACUGUAACUCGAUCAUCUUUUCUAUUAUUCUUUCCACUUUUCCGAGUCACUGGAGAGACUCACAAAAUGGGAAAGAAUAGAAUGGGUAUUCUCAGGAAAGAGAAGACCACCAUCCAUUCAAGACAAGCCAGACCAGGCAAGGGUUAGAGGGACAUGAGGAUUUCUCCCUGAAGAUCUCCAGCCGGAGUCCGGUUGUGGUGGUGGGGGGGGUGGGGUCUAGGGCAGCAUCCCAAACACAGUGACAGGUGGCCAAGGACCGGAGGUUAAGAGCCGCCUCUCUAGCGGAAGUCAGGCCCCUGAGCACUGGGUCAUCUGCUGCUGGGGUGGGGGCCCCAGCCUCCCUGUUUUCUCCUAUCUCUGUACCAAGUGGAGCCACAAAGGAGGAGCAACACAAGCAAGAAAAAUCAGACCGUGAAAGGUUUCUGAGAAUUUCUGAACCAUCUGGAAGAGGUUCAGGACCUGUUCUCCCUUCUGGAAAGCCUGAUCCAUCAUCAGCAUGAGGUAAGAAACACAGAAAGAGCAGGAAGGUAAGGAACCCUCAUCCCAGACCCAGCAGACUGUAACUCGAUCAUCUUUUCUAUUAUUCUUUCCACUUUUCCGAGUCACUGGAGAGACUCACAAAAUGGGAAAGAAUAGAAUGGGUAUUCUCAGGAAAGAGAAGACCACCAUCCAUUCAAGACAAGCCAGACCAGGCAAGGGUUAGAGGGACAUGAGGAUUUCUCCCUGAAGAUCUCCAGCCGGAGUCCGGUUGUGGUGGUGGGGGGGGUGGGGUCUAGGGCAGCAUCCCAAACACAGUGACGGGUGGCCAAGGACCGGAGGUUAAGAGCUGCCUCUCUAGCAGAAGUCAGGCCCCUGAGCACUGGGUCAUCUGCUGCUGGGGUGGGGGCCCCAGCCUCCCUGUUUCCUCCUAUCUCUGUACCAAGUGGAGCCACAAAGAAGGAGCAACACAGGCAAGAAAAAUCAGACCGUGAACGGUGAGUGUCCGCCA